GGCAAAGGUUGGAAGAGACCUUUAGAACAGCUGGUCCCUAUGCCGACCGGGUGCCCGCACUAAGUUUGGCAUCAAUAUGAUGUCCUCCUGGGAGCGGGGGGCCACCAAGUUGCCUAAGGAUGGCUGAACUGGCCCAGGUCAGAAAGGGAGCGGGUCAGAACUCCCACAUCGACUGGUAGUGGGACUAUGCCUGAUCUUGGUU
ensembl:misc_RNA RN7SL484P RNA, 7SL, cytoplasmic 484, pseudogene